AAAGCUAGCUAUUGAGGUGGGAGAUUGUAAUGGAUCACAACAAUACUGAGAACUAACGUCCUCAUUGGUCACGGCUAUGUUAUCCUACAUACUGGAUCACCUGUCUUUACACAAUGGGCCUAGACCACCACUUUGUGAGCCACCACUCUAUGGACCACCACUCCGAGUGUUGGGUCUCACAAGAUGGAGCCGAUUCUGAUGCCAUUGAUACAAACACAGGAGAACUGCACCCCAAAAGCUAGCUAUUGAGGCAGGAGGGCCUAAAUCCAUAUAUACCCCACAUUAAAAUCCCAUAUUUUCGAUGUGGGACACAAAAUUUUCUUGCAGUGGAUCGUAACAUAAUGGAAUGAAAUAUUCCAUAAGAUGCAUAAACCUGCAUAAAUGGUGUGUGACAAUUUGUCAAAGAUAUUAUACAUGUGUCAAGCGAUAAUGAUAAAUCCAUUGAACUUGAGUCAAAUAAGUACCUAAGCCUAGGAUAGCAAAUUCUCUGGGAAGCUGCGAUGCAUAGUUGAUGCAUUUCCACUAAUACUUUUAUCUUCAGCAGAGGGCAUGAAAUAUUUAAGCAAUACACUAAAACGUUUUGAAAAUUGGACUUCUAUUAAAAAGCAGAGUCAAGAGAGCCUAAGCUAAACACAUCAAUUGUAUUACUUCUCCAAGAUUAGGUUAAAGUAAAU
rnacentral:misc_RNA from 1 species